rnacentral:lncRNA from 1 species
UCGAGCUUUCCGAAUGAGUCUUCGUUCUCCAAUUUGAAUCUCUUCUUCAAAACUUCUGCGAUCAACUCUUCAAGACUCCAAACAACUUUACGAAAUUCGCCAACCUAUAAAAUCCUUAACAAUAAUUUUAUUCUAGACAUAAAAUUUGCAAAUUUUAAAAAAUUAAAAUUUUAAAAUUCAAAUUUUACGUUUUAAAUUUUAAAAUUAUAAAAGUUUUAAGAUUUUAAAUUUUAAUAUUUUAAAUUUAAAUUUAAAUUUAAAUGUCAAAUUUCAAAUUAUGGUUCAGAUUUUAUAUUAAAAAAUUGUAAACUUUUAGACUCAAAUUUAAAUUUCAAAUUCACAUUGUAAAAUAAAAUUUAGAAAAGAAAUUUUAUUUGCAAACAACA